CCGCUAUUUGCCAAACUACCCGCUGAUCCUUCCAUAUGUUCAAGUACG
rnacentral:rRNA from 1 species